UCGCUGCCGGCCGUCGGCCGGGGGAGGAAAGUCCGGGCAACGCAGAGCGCCACGCAAGCCAACGACUUGAUAUCCGUGAGGGUAUGGGAGCGUAACAGAGAAUGACCGCCCGCCGGGUCCCGCGAGGGAACGCCGGCAGGUAAGGGUGAAAAGGCGGGGUAAGAGCCCACCGCGGGGGCAGUGAUGUCACCCGGCAGUACGUCCCGUGGGUUGCAAGACCAUGUAUACCGGCAAUCAAGGGUUGCUCGUCCGAUGCCGGGGGGUAGGUUGCUGGAGGCGGCAGGUGACUGCCGUCGUAGAUAAAUGACAGGGGCCCGGAGUCCGCUCCGGGAACAGAACCCGGCUUACAGGG
rnacentral:RNase_P_RNA from 1 species